rnacentral:rRNA from 1 species
GACGAACGCUGGCGGCGUGCUUAACACAUGCAAGUCGAACGGUGAAGCUCCAGCUUGCUGGAGUGGAUCAGUGGCGAACGGGUGAGUAACACGUGAGCAACCUGCCCCUGACUCUGGAAUAAGCGCUGGAAACGGCGUCUAAUACUGGAUACGAGAAGGGUCCGCAUGGGCACCUUCUGGAAAGUUUUUCGGUUGGGGAUGGGCUCGCGGCCUAUCAGCUUGUUGGUGAGGUAAUGGCUCACCAAGGCGACGACGGGUAGCCGGCCUGAGAGGGCGACCGGCCACACUGGGACUGAGACACGGCCCAGACUCCUACGGGAGGCAGCAGUGGGGAAUAUUGCGCAAUGGGCGAAAGCCUGAUGCAGCGACGCCGCGUGAGGGAUGACGGCCUUCGGGUUGUAAACCUCUUUCAGCAGGGAAGAAGCGAAAGUGACGGUACCUGCAGAAGAAGCACCGGCUAACUACGUG